UCACCGAGACUCACGCCUGUCCGAGGGUCGGUU
rnacentral:rRNA from 1 species